rnacentral:rRNA from 1 species
UACGUAGGGGGCAAGCGUUGUCCGGAAUCAUUGGGCGUAAAGAGCUCGUAGGCGGUUUGUCGCGUCUGCUGUGAAAACUCGGGGCUUAACUCCGGGCCUGCAGUGGGUACGGGCAGACUAGAGUGCGGUAGGGGUGACUGGAAUUCCUGGUGUAGCGGUGGAAUGCGCAGAUAUCAGGAGGAACACCGAUGGCGAAGGCAGGUCACUGGGCCGCAACUGACGCUGAGGCUCGAAAGCUAGGGGAGCAAACGGG